rnacentral:siRNA from 1 species
CCUUUAUGGCCUUAUGGGUGUCUU